UACAGAGGUCCCAAGCGUUGUUCGGAUUUACUGGGCGUAAAGCGCACGUAGGCGGGUUGUUAAGUCAGGGGUGAAAUCCUGGAGCUCAACUCCAGAACUGCCUUUGAUACUGGCAACCUAGAGGCUGGAAGAGGUUAGUGGAAUUCCCAGUGUAGAGGUGAAAUUCGUAGAUAUUCGCAAGAACACCAGUGGCGAAGGCGGCCCCCCUGGUCGGAUACUGACGCUGAGACGCGAAAGCGUGGGGAGCAAACAGG
rnacentral:rRNA from 1 species